CCUACGGGGGGCAGCAGUGAGGAAUAUUGGUCAAUGGCCGAGAGGCUGAACCAGCCAAGUCGCGUGAGGGAAGACGGCCCUACGGGUUGUAAACCUCUUUUGUCGGGGAGCAAAGAGAGUCACGUGUGACUCAUUGAGAGUACCCGAAGAAAAAGCAUCGGCAAACUCCGUGCCAGCAGCCGCGGUAAUACGGAGGAUGCGAGCGUUAUCCGGAUUUAUUGGGUUAAAAGGGUGCGCAGGCGGAGGUGCAAGUCAGCGGUCAAAUUGCGGGGCUCAACCCCGUACUGCCGUUGAAACUGCAUGCCUUGAGUGCGCGAGGAGCAGGCGGAAUGCGUGGUGUAGCGGUGAAAUGCAUAGAUAUCACGAAGAACCCCGAUUGCGAAGGCAGCAUACCGGCGCGCAACUGACGCUCAUGCACGAAAGCGUGGGUAUCGAACAGGAUUAGAUACCCGUGUAGUC
rnacentral:rRNA from 1 species